CGAUCCUCGCCUGAGGCGAAGGCCGGAGACGCCGCAGAGGGGAGCGCGCGUCGCGCGCACCCCCCUCCGCCGCAUUCCAUCCGUCCCAUUCACUGCCCGCUCGCGAUGUGCGCACGGCUGACGGGGGUGUCGAGUGUGUGCCGUGCGGUGUUGGUGUCGUCUGCCGUCUCCUCUUCCGACCUGAAGCAUUCGAGAAUCUCGGCUCACCAAUAAUAUGCGAUGCAAGGCUCGACGGACGACAUCCUCGCUCAAGAUGUGUACGAGUAUAGCUGGAUGCAGACGGAAAGGCGGCCUCGACAAUGGUGACAUGACGUGACAUCAACGGUGUGAUGGUGUGAUGUGACUGUGACGUGUGGAUGACUCGAAAAGUAAAGGGCUGUUGAUAUGUGUUCUCAGCUAUACAUUUUUUAUGAAUACAUAUUGAUUUUGACGUUUA